rnacentral:lncRNA from 1 species
UUACUGUCUGAACAUGAUAGAUUUCUUUUUAAUAUGAUUUAUAACUUGUCAUUACAGGAUACUGAAGUUCUCCAGACAACAUUAAUCUAUUGAUGACUCUCAGGUGAAGAUGUGAUUGAUGCAGUUACAGACACUGGUGUCAUAGGACGUUUGCUAGAUUUUCACUGGAUUUGUUCAGACAUCCCACUGCUGUUAAUAAGGUUGGAUAUAUCUCUUGGCUCAAAGAAAUGGUUUGUUCUCUGUUCCUGA